GUGGUGUGUGAAAGGAGAAAAAGUUAGCACUGUCCUUGACAAGAAUGGGAGAGGCUUCUGCCUACAACACGCAUAUGGUUAAGGUUGACCACUUGGUCUCCCGUAGAUGACCUGUCACAAUUAAUAAGCCAUUUUUAUUG
rnacentral:ncRNA from 1 species